UACGGAGGGUGCGAGCGUUGUCCGGAAUCACUGGGCGUAAAGGGCGCGUAGGCGGCCUGAUAAGUAGGGGGUGAAAUCCUGCGGCUUAACCGCAGGGCUGCCUUCUAAACUGUCGGGCUAGAGCACGGUAGAGGCAGAUGGAAUUCCCGGUGUAGCGGUGGAAUGCGUAGAGAUCGGGAAGAACAUCAGUGGCGAAGGCGGUCUGCUGGGCCGUUGCUGACGCUGAGGCGCGACAGCGUGGGGGGCAAACAGG
rnacentral:rRNA from 1 species